CCGCCCACCCGCCUCCCUGCAGAGGAGCCGCCCAGCACGGCUCCCUGGGAAGGGGAAGGCACCCCAUUGUCAGUAUGCAGCAGUUUCUGUUUCCCUUAUUGACUGGGGCUGUGGGGCCUCUUCCUCACUGGGACCCGUCAGCCGCGAUGGAUCCAGUCUGGGGGAGCUGCCCCGGCCCUCUGCAAGGGCAUCUGCUUGGGGCGUGGGUCUGGAAGGAGGAGGAAGGAAAACGCAACACAAGGCAGCAUCAUCACAGAGCUCGCAGCUUCGAGACUGUGGAAGGGAAACCACUGUGCAUGGGGGCUGGGAGGACAGCCGACGGCGCAGGGAAAGCCCAGGAAUCCCCAAGGCAGGAGGCGAGUGACACUUAGCCAUCAAAACAGAUGGUUACAAACAAGAACAACACAAAAUCAUCACUUGUUCCAGAUGGGUAUUUUAAUUAAAAAGAAAAAAAAAACUGAGCCCCAAACCUAUAGUGAUAGUGACAGUGUCUGCUGUAUAACAGCUGGGCCAGGAAAACAAAAAACUGAAAACCUCUGGGCGUGGCACACUCCUCCUGCUGCCCCAGACCACCUGGUGAUGGAGGGUGGUCCUCCCCCAGGACCUGCAGCCUGCGGGGCACUCAGCCUAACAGAGUCCCCUCCUCACGCUGCCCCUCACUCAGGGCCCAGAGCCCCGCCUGUCUCCGCCGGGGAAGGUGGCGAAGGGGGAGAAAUCCCAGUGUGACUUGUGACUCACCGAGAGGGUCGAGGGUCGGGGAUCUUUAGUCAGAGCAGAAGUGGGAGUGGGAUGGGGGCGGACGUUCUCUCCUCUCUCUCUUCUUAGCCCAGGUGGGGCUUUCAUCCAGUUCUCGCAUGGCGCAUGGCGGGGAGUGUUUCCCUAGUUUGGGAAUAGGGGAGGGAGGCAAAGCGGAGCCCCUCCUCUACGGCUGAAUCAGGCCUCCUUGAGCCUGUGUUCUAGAGCUGAAAAGGGGACAGUCCCAAAGCAAGUGGCAUUGAGAGGGUGACAUACACGCAGCCACCUCAGGCAGAAAUCACAGGUCCCGGCCAGAGUGCUGGGCAGGGCCCGGGGACUGUGCCACUACAGCAAACCUUUGGCAACGCGCUCCCGCUCCCAUGUGGAAACUCCCAGCAAGGUGUGCACCGUCCUCCCCAAGGAGGGGAAGAGGCACAGCCCAGCGUGGGAGUCCGGGGUCUGGAGCCCCUACUGCUGACUGACUUUCACUCCUGAGUCAGGACCCCAGCUGGCCAGGCCUCUCUCCUCCUCCCCAAGGAGCUGGAAGGCCGUGGCUCCCAGCUCGGGAGGUGACGCCAGCCCUAUGGGUCAGCAAGACUGGACCUGACUGUCCUUUUGUGUGCUCUGUAAUUUGCCCCUGGAAUCAGCCAUUAAGUCAUUUGCCGGGCUGAUGCCAAGGAUAAAGGCCCGUAUCAGCCUCUGGGAUCUGUGGCCCAGACUCCUUGGCUCUGUUGUGGGCUUUGCCACCUCAGCCUCCAGACUGGCCUGGUAGGGAGGGACAGAGCACUGUGAAGCCUCAUAGCUUUGGAACCAGUGUGGGCAAGCAGGGGGUCUAUUACAAAUGGGGACA
rnacentral:lncRNA from 1 species